GACACUUUGGCCGAGUGGUUAAGGCGUUAGCCUGCUAAGCUAAUGGGGUCUCCCCGCAUGAGUUCAAAUCUCAUAGGUGUCG